GGAUGUAAGAGCAACUUUGGUGAGACUCCUGUUACCCCAUAGGUCACGAGGGUUGAUUCAGGUGAUUUGGCUGGGUGUUGGGGACCCAUUCUUUAAGUGCCACGAAACUGCUCACUUGCUCAGAGAUUUUUACAUUGACAAGGGAAUAAGACUCCUGUACCUCCCCAGGCCCUGCAAACAAUCCCAGAUCCAUCUAUAACUUCUUUUAAUGAAGCAAACUAUAUUUAUAGUCUCUGAAUAUUC
rnacentral:sRNA from 1 species